rnacentral:rRNA from 1 species
GUUAGUGGCGUAAGGGUGAGUAACGGAUAGGUAACGUACCUCGUGCUUCGGGAUAGCGUCGUUCGCCUUCGGGCGAACUUCCGAAAGGGGCGGUAAUACCGGAUAAUAUCGCUUGUUGAUAGACGAGUGAUCAAAGAUUUAUCGGCACUGGAGCGGCCUGUCUCCUAUCAGCUUGUUGGUGAGGUAAAAGCUCACCAAGGCUAUGACGGGUAGCGGGACUGAGAGGUUGGCCCGCCACAUCGGGACUGAGACACUGCCCGGACCUCCACGGAGGGCUGCAGUAACGAAUCUUGUGCAAUGGGCGAAAGCCUGACACAGCGACGCCGCGUGUAGGAGGAAGUCCUUCGGGAUGUAAACUACUGUCAGGGGUAAGAAAGUUCACUUCGGUGGAUUGAUCCAACCCAAAGGAAGUCACGGCUAACUUCGUGCCAGCAGCCGCGGUAAGACGAAGGUGGCGAGCGUUGUUCGGUAUUACUGGGCUUAAAGCGUGUGUAGGCGGAAAAGUAAGCGUUCUGUGAAAGCCCCCGGCUUAACCGGGGAAUUGCGCAACGAACUGCUUUUCUUGAGGCAAGUAGGGGCGCAUGGAACUCUUGGUGGAGCGGUGGAAUGCGUAGAUAUCAAGAGGAACGCCAGUGGAGAAAUCGGUGCACUGGGCUUGUCCUGACGCUGAGACACGAAAGCGUGGGGAGCGAACGGGAUUAGAUACCCCGGUAGU